CGCACCUUGCGCUCCUGGGUCAUUCCUAGGAGCAUGCUUGUUUGAGUGUCGCGUACCUUCUCAACCCCGCCUUUUUGUAAUUAAAAGGGUAGCCACUUUUAGGAGUGGGUGAGGGUUGGAUCAUGACGUCUUGUCGCUUUCACUUUUAGAAAGAUAGACUGCGUUGAAAUAUAAGAAGCUGUAUCUUAGACUUGGCGGCUUGACCUGUUGUCAUAAGCUUAAAACUUUCAAUGGGAACGCUAGUCGGAAUGGGCUUACCAUAAAUCAAUUGUUUAUAAACAUUGACCUCAAAUCAAGUAGGACUACCCGCUGAACUUAA
rnacentral:misc_RNA from 1 species